AUGAACGCUAGCUACAGGCUUAACACAUGCAAGUCGAGGGGCAGCGGGAUUGAAGCUUGCUUCAAUUGCCGGCGACCGGCGCACGGGUGAGUAACGCGUAUCCAACCUUCCGCUUACUCGGGGAUAGCCUUUCGAAAGAAAGAUUAAUACCCGAUGGUAUCUUAAGCACGCAUGAGAUUAAGAUUAAAGAUUUAUCGGUAAGCGAUGGGGAUGCGUUCCAUUAGGCAGUUGGCGGGGUAACGGCCCACCAAACCUACGAUGGAUAGGGGUUCUGAGAGGAAGGUCCCCCACAUUGGAACUGAGACACGGUCCAAACUCCUACGGGAGGCAGCAGUGAGGAAUAUUGGUCAAUGGGCGAGAGCCUGAACCAGCCAAGUAGCGUGAAGGAUGACGGCCCUACGGGUUGUAAACUUCUUUUGUGCGGGAAUAAAGGAACCUACGUGUAGGUUUUUGCAUGUACCGUAACGAAUAAGCAUCGGCUAACUCCGUGCCAGCAGCCGCGGUAAUACGGAGGAUGCGAGCGUUAUCCGGAUUUAUUGGGUUUAAAGGGAGCGUAGACGGGUUUUUAAGUCAGCUGUGAAAGUUUGGGGCUCAACCUUAAAAUUGCAGUUGAAACUGGAGACCUUGAGUACGGUUGAGGCAUGCAGAAUUCGUGGUGUCGCAGUGAAAUUCUUAGAUAUCACGAAGAUCCGCAAUUGCUAAGGCAGCCUGCUAAGCCGCCACUGACGUUGAGGCUCGAAAGUGCGGGUAUCAAACAGGAUUAGAUACCCUGGUAGUCCACGCCGUAAACGAUGAAUGCUAGGUGUUGGAGGGUUUCCGCCCUUCAGUGCCGCAGCUAACGCAAUAAGCAUUCCGCCUGGGGAGUACGACCGCAAGGUUGAAACUCAAAGGAAUUGACGGGGGCCCGCACAAGCGGUGGAGCAUGUGGUUUAAUUCGAAGCAACGCGAAGAACCUUACCAGGUCUUGACAUCCUACUAACGAGAUAGAGAUAUGUUAGGUGCCCUUCGGGGAAAGUAGAGACAGGUGGUGCAUGGUUGUCGUCAGCUCGUGCCGUGAGGUGUCGGCUUAAGUGCCAUAACGAGCGCAACCCUUGCUGCCAGUUACUAACAGGUCAUGCUGAGGACUCUGGCAGGACUGCCAUCGUAAGAUGCGAGGAAGGUGGGGAUGACGUCAAAUCAGCACGGCCCUUACGUCCGGGGCUACACACGUGUUACAAUGGGGAGUACAGAGGGCAGCUACCGGGCGACCGGAUGCGAAUCCCGAAAGCUCCUCUCAGUUCGGACUGGAGUCUGCAACCCGACUCCACGAAGCUGGAUUCGCUAGUAAUCGCGCAUCAGCCACGGCGCGGUGAAUACGUUCCCGGGCCUUGUACACACCGCCCGUCAAGCCAUGAAAGCCGGGGGUACCUGAAGUACGUAACCGCGAGGAUCGUCCUAGGGUAAAACCGGUAAUUGGGGCU
rnacentral:rRNA from 1 species